UACGUAGGGCGCAAGCGUUGUCCGGAUUUAUUGGGUUUAAAGGGUGCGUAGGCGGCCCUGUAAGUCAGUGGUGAAAUACUCUAGCUUAACUAGAGGGGUGCCAUUGAUACUGCGGAGCUUGAGUACAGAUGAGGUAGGCGGAAUUGACGGUGUAGCGGUGAAAUGCAUAGAUAUCGUCAAGAACACCGAUAGCGAAGGCAGCUUACUGGGCUGUAACUGACGCUGAUGCACGAAAGUGUGGGGAUCAAACAGG
rnacentral:rRNA from 1 species